CUCAGUCCCGUCGCCGAACAGUUUUUUUUUUUUUGGGUCUAAUGUUAAGAUUUUAUACGAAACGUGAGGUUACAACCUAAAUUACAUACUGUAAACCCAAUAACAUAGGAACAGUCAGACAAAUGUUACUUGAGUUAAGAGAUACAAGAGAAGUAAAAAUGAAGAAGAGUAGUGGAAGAGCGCAUGUCUGAGGAAGGAAAGGACAAAAGACGAUUCCUCAAGGUCUUAUCAAUUGCCAAACACUGAGUGGAGACCGAAGAUGGAAUGCUGGUGAAGAUCCUAGCGUUGCGCUUUUUCCAAACGUGGUAAACCGCGGGCUGAAGGAGAAG